AAAUCCCAACUUCAUUUUCGGUGCGAAGAACCCUAGUCCACUACCUGUUUGCACUCCAUUCUACUCCUCCAGUUAAGUAAUAAAUAUGCAAUACUAGUGAUUUUACAUAUUUUCUAUGGAGUUUUCUGAGAUUGAUGGUUGAAUUCAUAUGGAAUGAUAGGUAUUUUAGCCAAGUUUAUUCAAUUAUAUGAGAAUAUUUGUGGCUUUGAAGUUCUUUGCUCAAGUUGAUUAGUUUGUGUUGUUUCAAGAUUCCCACUUAAUACAAGAGUUUAUCUAAUAUUAUGGUGUUAUGGUGACGGUGUAAUCUGCCCAAAAUCACCACACAAAAAUUCGUGCUUUCAUUUUUUUUAUUUUGUUACCCAAUAAACAACCCUCGUUAUUAAUUAUGUCCAUUUAACUAAAGGUACUUCUUCUGCCAUAAACAAAAGUGUUUGUGUUUUCAAUUUUUGUUUAUUCAAAUGUGGGAAUAGUAGCAACUAGUGGGUAUUCUGUCCAUGUAAGAUUUAAAUCUUCUUUCAUUUUCAUUCUAUGCUUUCAUUUUUUCAUAUUCAUUUUUUCUUUAUUCAAAAGUUUCUGUACUUCUUGAUUGAGCUUUCUUUAAUAUCUUAUCUAUAUAGAAAUGCAAUAUCCAAGGUUCAGACUUUAUCAAGAGGAGACACCUGAAGACGAUUAUAUAUAUAUAUAUAUUGAUAGGGGGCUUGUAAUCUGCAUGCACGUAAUUAUAUUGCAGAAAAAUACAUUCGUAAUUGAAUGUCAUUACCUUGUUCAUACAGGUCCUAAUACAGAUUAUUUCACAAUGAAGGUCCACUAUGGUGGGAGGUUCUUUGAUAUGCCAAACAACAUCACAUAUAAGCAUGGUUCGGUGCUGUGCAUGGAUUUCAUUCAUCCAACUUUAUUGACAAUUCAAAUGCUGAACAAAUUUAUAAAAGCCCGUGGAUCUAAUAAGGAAUUGAAACUAUUCUAUUGGAAGCCAGAGGCAUAAUCGGGAAAAGGUUAUGUAGAAUUAACAAUGAGCAAGAUGUAAAAAAUAUGCUGAGGGAUAGAAAUGAAGCAAGGGUUGAGGAGAUAUAUCUUGUACCUUCAAAAGAGAAACGAGCACUUUCAUCUGACGAUUUAAAUCCACCUCUAAAUGAGCAUGUUGGGAGGUCUGAUCCAAUUAAAGAAGGAUGCUAUGUUCCUGUUAUUGAAUGGAGAGAUGAAUAAAACGAAAAAUAUAAUUUGGAUGAUAGGUUUUUCUAUGCAAAUCAAGAUUCAAUUUAGUCACAAGUUGAGUACACCAUGGUUUUUGAGGCUGUGUGAAUAUUCAUUUAAAUCUUUACGAUGUUUUACGAAGUUAUUGAUUGAUUUGAUGAGAAGAGCUAGCUAGGAUUAGGAGAAAGCUCUCGAUUCUAUUUAUUUGGACAUUGGUUAUGCAAAAAAGGACAUUUCCAAUACGUAUUUAUGUCAUAUGUUUGCUUGGGAAUGUCUAUGAAAUUUUAGAUUUUGGAUUUAGUGAUAGUUAAAUAUGUGCAAUGGAAAUGGUUCAAUACAUAGUGAAAAUGGUACCGUUCAUAAUGGUUAUUUGAAAGAAUUAAUCAUUCAUUUGAAGAAAUUCUUACUCAGUCAAAGUUAACUACUUGAUGCCACUUUUUGUAAGAGCAGCGGCUUGACAAAAUUGCCCCUUUUUUAUGAUAUAAAUGCAAUUUGUGUGUCUAUUUAAUGGAAGGACCCAACAGAAUGAACAAAAAGGAUUGAAAUGAGGUUGUAAAUACUGAAUUUAGAAUGAUAGAGAUGAUUUGCACAAUGAAUGCAAACGAUAGUGAUAUUUUAUGCUAAUUACCCAUAUAAAGUUUGAAUUUAUUUUAAAAUUCUAAAAUCUGACCAAUGUGGUUGAAAUUACUAUCUAAAACCAUAUUUAAAAAUCUUGCUUGCAAUCAUAAGCACUGAACUAGAC
rnacentral:lncRNA from 1 species